rnacentral:misc_RNA from 1 species
UCGCGGCUUAUCACCGGCAGUCUCCCUAGAGUGCUCAACUAAAUGGUAGCAACUAAGGACGGGGGUUGCGCUCGUUGCGGGACUUAACCCAACAUCUCACGACACGAGCUGACGACAACCAUGCACCACCUGUGCAGGACCCUUGCGGACCCCCCAUCUCUGGAGGAUUUCCGGUGUAUGUCAAGCCUAGGUAAGGUUCUUCGCGUUGCAUCGAAUUAAGCAACAUGCUCCGCCGCUUGUGCGGGCCCCCGUCAAUUCCUUUGAGUUUUAAUCUUGCGACCGUACUCCCCAGGCGGGAUGCUUAAAGCGUUAGCUGCGGCACGGAACUCGUGGAAUGAGCCCCACACCUAGCGCCCAACGUUUACGGCGUGGACUAC